UACGUAGGGGGCAAGCGUUGUCCGGAUUUAUUGGGCGUAAAGAGCGUGUAGGUGGUUAGGUAGGUCCGUUGUGAAAACUCGAGGCUCAACCUCGAGACGCCGAUGGAAACCCCCUAACUAGAGUCCGGAAGAGGAGAGUGGAAUUCCUGGUGUAGCGGUGAAAUGCGCAGAUAUCAGGAAGAACACCCGUGGCUAAGGCGGCUCUCUAGUACGGUACUGACGCUGAGACGCGAAAGCGUGGGGAGCGAACAGG
rnacentral:rRNA from 1 species